rnacentral:rRNA from 1 species
AUAAAAAGUCAUACCUGCUCAAUGGAGUAUAUUUCUAAAUAGCUGCGAUACUUUGAUCGUACUAAGGUAGCAUAAUAAUUUGCCUUAUAAUUGAAGGCUAGAAUGAAUGGUUAAACAUGGGUUUGUCUGUCUCUACUAAAUUAUAUAGAAUUUUGUUUUUAUGUGAAGAAACAUAAAUUAAAUUAUCAGACAAGAAGACCCUAUUGAGCUUUAGAAUAAGUAAGAUUAUAGCUUCUUAUCUAUGCUUAAUUUCUUUUGUUGGGGCAACAGGGGAUAAGAUAAUAUCUUUAAUAAUACAGUUAUUUAAUAAUAUUGAUCCAUUAAAAAAUGAUUAUUUAAAUAAGUUACCAUAGGGAUAACAGCAUUAUUUUACUUUUGAGUUCUUAUUUAGAGUAAAGUUUGUGACCUCGAUGUUGGAUCAAGGCAUCCUAAAGGUGUAGGCGUUUUUAAGGGUUAGUCUGUUCGACUAUUAAAGCCUUA